rnacentral:tRNA from 1 species
CGGGGUGGAACGUUCAGUAGCUCGCUGGGCUCAUAACCCAGAGGUCGCAGGUUCAAAUCCUGUCCCCG